rnacentral:rRNA from 1 species
UACGUAGGGGGCAAGCGUUGUCCGGAAUCAUUGGGCGUAAAGAGCGUGUAGGCGGCUCGGUAAGUCCGCUGUGAAAGUCCAGGGCUCAACCCUGGAAUGCCGGUGGAAACUGUCGAGCUAGAGUCCGGAAGAGGCGAGUGGAAUUCCUGGUGUAGCGGUGAAAUGCGCAGAUAUCAGGAAGAACACCCGUGGCUAAGGCGGUUCUCUAGUACGGUACUGACGCUGAGACGCGAAAGCGUGGGGAGCGAACAGG